rnacentral:rRNA from 1 species
GUGAAAUGGGUGGCGUGGGGUGUGGUAAUGCGGAGGCAGGAAGCGUGUGUGGGAGUUACUGUGCGUAAAGGGGGUGUAGGCGGGUCUCUAAGUGCCGUGUGAAAGCUCCCGGCUCAACGGGGAGGGUGCGCGGGAAACUGGAGGGCUUGAGUAUGGGAGAGGAAAGCGGAAUUCCUGGUGUAGCGGUGAAAUGCGUAGAUAUCAGGAGGAACACCUGUGGUGUAGACAGCUUUCUGGACCAUCACUGACGCUGAGACACGAAAGCGUGGGUAGCAAACAGGAUUAGAUACCCCGGUAGUC